AUGUCUUGACCAAAUCACGUGCCAGCAGUCGCGGUAAUACGUGGAAGACUAGUGUUAUUCAUCUUUAAUAGGUUUAAAGGGUACUUAGACGAUUGAUUAAGCCUCAAGUGGUACUAAUCAAAUAGAGUUUUAUACAAGAAGGGGAGUACUAAAGAGUGUAGAGAUGAAAUUCUGUCAUACCUGACUUGGAACAGACAAAGGCGAAAGCAACCUUUUAUGUAAAAACUGACGUUGAAAGACGAAGGCUUAGGACACCAACAGGAUUAGAUACCCUAGCAGUCUAAGCAGACAAUGAUGAAUGUCAUAGAUUAGAAUUAUAAUUUUGUCUAUAAAUGAAAGUGUAAGCAUUCCACCUCAAGAGUAAUGUGGCAACGCAGGAACUGAAAUCAUUAGACCGUUUCUGAAACCAGUAGUGAAGUAUGUUGUUUAAUUUGUCGGUCCGCAAAACACCUUACCACAAUUUGAAUAGUUUUAAUUUAAACAAAUUGUUUAAAUUAAUAUUACAAGCGUUGCACGGCUGUUUUCAGUUAAUGUCGUGAGAUUUUGGUUAGUUCCAUAAAAUUAACGUAAACCCUUACUUUAUUUAUCAAUAUAAAGUAGUUCUCCGUUAUAUUGGAUAUGAUAAAAGGGAAUAAGACAAGUCCAUCUGGCCUUAAUAUUGUGGGCUAUAGACGUGCCACAUA
rnacentral:rRNA from 1 species